CAUACAAAACGUAAGUGUUCCGAUCAAAAAAAAUUGUUUCAACAUUGUGUGUAUUUUUCUCAGAUUUCAACGUGAUUAACAUUCUGCGUACAACACAAAGCAAAUUUAAUUCCAUCGAUUUGCUACAUUUAUUCGAACCGAUUUUGUGUUUUCUGCUGACCGUGCAACACACACAAAGCAAGUGAGUAUUGUUAUUGUUUCGUAAGUGCUUCCAUGUGGUUCGCAAAUACACUGUUGGUGGGUCUUAUUGCAUAUGCGUGUGUGGGUAAAAUACAUAGUUUAAGAUGUAGUUUUAGGUUAAUUUUUCCAUUUUUAUUUAUGUACUUCAAAUAUGCAUACUCUAGCACGACCACCGGGGACAACACUAACUACCUUUUUCGAGUUGUGUGAAAACGAUGAAUUUGCAAGAACAUUGCUAUAUUCCGAAAUACCACAAUAUUUCACUUGAAAUCCAUCAUCGAAAACAUUUCAACGACGAAAGCAAGGGGAGCGUGUUGACGGUUAUCCAAAUGUCCGUAAAACUGAUGCCAUAAGACGCAUUUACACCAUCCAUCCGAACAACGCCGAAUGUUUUUAUUUGCGUCUGCUAUUAGUCAACGUGCGCGGACCAAGAUCAUUUGAUGAUUUGAAAACUGUUGACGGUCAGUUGUGUGCGACGUAUCA